AAUUAGAGGGGGCCCUUAUGGUUGUUCUAAUGUCCGCCACUCCCUGAUUCGUCAAAGAUCCCAGUUACUUUUUACAGUGACAAAAUCUUGAGUCCCAAAAUUCAGUUCUUUCAGAUGUCUGGAUUACAGGGUUACGAGUUAUGCAGCUUCAUUUCAAAGAAUCCUUCCAUUUUGAUUCAAAGCUUCAAGAGAACAUUUGUCCCCUCAGUUGAAGCUAUUAGGAAAAUUGUGUGCGACAAGAAAGAUUUCAUUUUUGUGUUACGGCUGGAUACUCCCAAAGUACAAAAGGUUUAUGCAGGAUGUCGUCUUUUUGGAGAGGUGUGGCAUUCUUGGGACUCAUCUUGCCUUGCUACUCAAACUUCAUCCAAGGCUUUUCCUUGCAAUUCAAGAAUGGUUGUCCUUGCAAUUCAAGAAUGGUUGUCCAUGCAAUUCAUACAUUAAGUUGUUUGAGCGAUAAAACCUUUGAGUGAAAGCUGAAACUAGUUAAUUGUUUUGGGUUUUUCAAGGAUGAGGGCCCGCAAAAGUUCAAGAGAAUCCCGACUUUGUUUAGAACAUCAGAGAAGAAGUCGAAAGUUGGAUGAAAUUCUUCUUGCAUACAGGUACGCUGCCCAAGUCUGUCCUUAUUCACCAUGGACGGUCGCAUGCUUUCUUGAUGAAGUUUUCCAGCUGUUGAAAUAAAAAAAUCUCUGCAAGAAAGUCCCCAGUUAUAUUCAUGUGUUGUGCUUGUCUGAGGAGAUGUUCUUGGACAAGUAUAUAUCACAAUUCAGAAAAAAUGCAGUGGGGUCAUUAUAUUUUUAACAGUGUUCUUGACAGUGUUGUGCAAGCUUAAUUUAGUUUCUUAUAUUUUUAAGUUUUUUUUCGAGACAGGGUUACCAUAUAUCCUUUCCUUCUACAGUAGCAAAAGUAGACUUGAUUAGAUAUGAGUUUCCUUAUCUCAAGCAAAGCCCAUGCGGGAGUGAAGGAAAUUCUGGGUUGAUUUCAAUCCCACAAAAGCACAAAAAGCACACAGAAUCAGUUUAACGUUUGAUUUUUAAUUAUAUUGUGUGUUUUUGUGGGAUUCAAUUAUACGGUGUUUAAGGAUCUAUGAACGUGCUUAUGUUGGUUUGAAUUAUAUGGUGUUUAAAGAUUGAUCGAUGUGCAUCUGUUGGAUUGAAUUAUAUGGUGUGCUUUUGUCAGAUGUUUAACUAUCAAUCGAUGUGCUUUUGUCGGAUUGAAUAAUGCAAGCAUUAUCAGUUUUUAUUGCAAGGAUUAUCACUAGAUCGUGGAGGGAAACUAAGAAUUGAAGGGGGUGCAUGGUGUGCAAAUGGAGGGUGGAAAUUCUAUGAUCUUUGUAUCUGGCUUUGACCUUUCUAUCUCAAUGUUUUAUUUACCAGUUCACCGAUGUGUAUUCUGAUUUAUUUUCUUAAUGGGUGAACUUGUUUUGUUUGAUAUCAUCAUGCUUCUAUUGAUGGUUUAUGGUUCAAAAGAGGCACUUAGGAUGAGCAUUUGGGACAAGUGUGGUUGGGAUUUACUCUCUGGUUUGAUG